UACGUAGGGUCCGAGCGUUAUCCGGAAUUAUUGGGCGUAAAGGGCUCGUAGGCGGUUUGUCGCGUCGGGAGUGAAAACACGGGGCUUAACCCCGUGCCUGCUUCCGAUACGGGCAGACUAGAGGUAUGCAGGGGAGAACGGAAUUCCUGGUGUAGCGGUGAAAUGCGCAGAUAUCAGGAGGAACACCGGUGGCGAAGGCGGUUCUCUGGGCAUUACCUGACGCUGAGGAGCGAAAGUGUGGGGAGCGAACAGG
rnacentral:rRNA from 1 species